UACGUAGGGUGCAAGCGUUAAUCGGAAUUACUGGGCGUAAAGCGUGCGCAGGCGGCUUUGCAAGACAGAUGUGAAAUCCCCGGGCUUAACCUGGGAACUGCAUUGGUGACUGCAUCGCUCGAGUAUGGCAGAGGGGGGUAGAAUUCCACGGUGUAGCAGUGAAAUGCGUAGAGAUGUGGAGGAAUACCGAUGGCGAAGGCAGCCCCCUGGGUCAAUACUGACGCUCCAUGCACGAAAGCGUGGGGAGCCAAACAGG
rnacentral:rRNA from 1 species